UAUAGUCGCCUUUCUUUACAUAUUAUCUUAUAUAUUUUAUUAAUUUUUAAUUAAGUAAUUGUUUUCUUACAUUCAUUUCUGUUUUAAUAUCUUAUAUUAUCUUAAUUUUAUCUUAUAUUAUAUUAUAUAUAUUCUAUUUUAUAUUAAAUAUAUCUUAUAUUGUUAGUCAUUUUAAAAUGUUACUCCACAUCAUUGUAAAUGGGGACCAGCCCUGAGAGAUGUUUUAGUUUAAAUACCUAAAGUUAUAUAUUAAAGCUAUAUUUUAAAGUUAUAUAUUUAAGGUAUAUAUUAAGAGCAGCCUCAGAGGACGAGCAGCUGGUUGGCUUUGGCUGUGGACCAGAGAGCAGCUGGAGGGAGGUGUGGGACAGGAGGGCUGACGGCUACGCUGCCUUCAUCAUGAGAACUAAGUGUUUUCAGGGACUCAGAUGUACAGACUGCAGCAGUAGCUGAUAAGGAAACAGUCGGCCUCUGUCUCCUCUUCACCAGUUCCUGCCUCAAGUGCACCUGAUGAAGACACCAUCCCACCGUGCCGACAGUGAAGAGACCUGUAACCAUUCCUCCUGAGCUGCAGGUUCUGGUGACAGAGGUUGCUCAUCCCAACAAACUGAGUUCUUUCAGCGUGAACUUCAGCUAACCGAGCGCAGAGUGGAAGACAGAGCGGAAAAGAAGAGGAAACUGCCGGACCCUCAGCCUCGAGGAACAAUGUGUCGUUUCUGUCACACAGAGCUGAAGCAGGGUCCAACCAGCAGACACACACACACACACACACACACAGGAUUCCCGGGAGGAAAACACAUUCACUGUCCAGCUAAGGUCCUUGCGUCAUAAAUACAUGACAAAGGAAAUGAAGUGGAAAGAAUUUGAGGCCUCACCGUUCUAUGCGAUGGAGAAAGAGAGGGUGGACGGCAGAAAGAAAAAGAUAGCUGAGGUCAUACAUUAUCCAUCUGUUGUUCUGUUCUUCACAUUUUGUCCCAAAGGUCCAGUGUCUAACAUUUCAUUCUUUAUUUAUUAUUACAGGGUUCCCGCGGGUCCAUAAAAAGUCUUAUAUUGUCUUAAAUUGACUGUAAAGUUGCUGUAGGUAUUACAUUUUCAGCCGGUGCACUUAAUGACGAUGGGAAAGCACAGUGGCCCACCGUAAAACAUCUAAUAGUUGAUUAAUUUAGUAUUGUGUCAAAUGAGAGUCUCCACGAUUAAUAGCUGUUUUACGGUACGUCGGCUACAGACGCUGACGUAGAGCUGCGUGCCACCAUUACGCAGUUGUCGAGGUGAGGUUUAACAUGCAAAGAAGAUGGGGAAGUGCAAAUUUAACGACAAGUGGAUGGAAGAGGAUGUAUUUAGGAGGUGGUUGGCGCCGGCUGAAAACAACAAUGAGGCAAUGUGUAAAUUCUAAAAAAAAGACUUUCAUUAGGGACCAUGGGGCUCAAAGCCGUCGAGUAGACCCUAACAGCACAUUAGCUCAGAGUUUAAGGGGUGUAACUGUUGGUAGAUGUGGUUUAUUUUGUUUAAAUAUGCCGAAUUGUGAUUUUAUGGGUUGUUGGGCAAAUGUAGCUGAUAAUGUAGGCUGUCACUUGUUGCCAUAGCAACAGUAAACAUUCACGUAAGGGUUAAUGAGCUGUAAAUAGAGAUGCAGGAUCAAGCUAUGUUGGAAAUACACAUUAGAUAUGUUGUAUUUUAUCACAAAAUACAUGAUUUUACCAGUUAGUAAACCUAUAGAAAAUAAUUAGUUUAAUUUGCAAAAUGUACCAUUAAAUUUAUAGCCCACACACAGAAAGACCACAGUGACCAUAGACUGACUUGAAUAGAGCACAUAACCAGGACUGUUACUAUCUGCAUAAAGUAUUUUAAUAUCAAAGCUCACAUUUUGAAUGUACGAAGGCAUCCUGUAUCAUAACUACAUGUCUGCCGUUUGUAAUAAAACAAAUCUGAAUUGAAUUCAUAUACCAAUUAUAUCAUGAUUAACGGCUUAAAUCAUUAAAGGCUUCACAAUGUCCUUUAACAUAAACGCCGUUCGACCACGGAGCAUUGCAUUCUGUGAAAUUACAACUGAUUAAUCUGAUUGAUUUAGUUGUUUCCUUGUAUAUAUUUAUAAUUGAUUAUUGGAUAUAAAACUGAUUGAUAUGUUGUUUAUUCUUGUUUUAGCACUCUCUAAACUGCACUGAAGACACGUGUGGACAGAUUUAAUAAAACAAUGACUUUUA